CAGCCGCCGCGGUAAUACGUAGGUGGCAAGCGUUGUCCGGAAUUAUUGGGCGUAAAGGGCUCGCAGGCGGUUUCUUAAGUCUGAUGUGAAAGCCCCCGGCUCAGCCGGGGAGGGUCAUUGGAAACUGGGAAACUUGAGUGCAGAAGAGGAGAGUGGAAUUCCACGUGUAGCGGUGAAAUGCGUAGAGAUGUGGAGGAACACCAGUGGCGAAGGCGACUCUCUGGUCUGUAACCGACGCUGAGGAGCGAAAGCGUGGGGAGCGAACAGGAUUAGAUACCCCGGUAGUCCCUGUCUCUUAUAC
rnacentral:rRNA from 1 species